GUCCUACUUAAAGUGAUGGAAAACGUUUCGUUUUUUUGCAAAAAAAAAACCCUGCCACCACCGGCCAGCUCCACCACUUAUCCAUUCCCGGAACGAUAGGGAUUGGCGGUGGCCGGCGUGCUCGCUUGGAAGGAUGGAGGCCGCCUCGCAGGGGCUCUGGUGCGGCAGCACGACGUCGGGCCGUUGCGGAUGGCGCCGGGGCUUGGGCUGGUGGUUUGAAGGGCGCCGAGGAGGAGGUGUUGUCCUGGAGACAGCAACGGCGGCUGCAGCUUGACGAUGCAGGCGUCAACAGCUUGCUUCAGGGGCUGCGGGCCGUGAGCGGCGCCGUGCUCGCGCACGAGACCCAUGCCUGAUUUGGAUCGGAUUGCAGGCCGUGUCCUUGUUGAACACAGUUCAAUGGAGUGCCCAACCCGGAUUGUUGUUUUCUGCUAUAAGAAGGAAAAAUAGUCGGCCAGAAUCUCCAUGGGUUCAAUUUUUGAUUUGGACGAAACGUCCAAUGUAUUCGCCGAGUUCGCUGGAGCUACAAGAACAGACGUCAAGCACUCCAAUGUCGCCAGCAGCGGCUACACCAGAGUGGCAUACACAUGAAUAGAUAUCUCAACAUAUAUUUGAAGUGUAACCAGCCUUUCGCAGUUGGAUGUAUUCUGAACAUGUGAGUUUAUCUCCUGAACCCAUGGUUACUUACUGAACAUAAAGUAGCAAAACUGAAAGUAUAUAUAUUGUACUGUACUUUCAGUAAUAUAGAUGCCAAUAUCAUUACCUUUUUCAGUUAGGGGGUAGUAGGGAUUCACUUUGGUAUAAAUCUGAUUGAUAGUUACUGCUCUGGUCUGUAAUUUAGCCAGAGUCAGGUUCAGAGUUGUUGACUGGAUUUUUUGGGCACAACCAUCAAGCAACCUGAGUAAAGCUUACCUAAGCCAAUGAUUGUGUUCUUUUAGCUAGAGCCAGGUUCAGAGUUGUUCACUCUGGAUUUUUUGGGCACAACCAUCAAGCAAGCUAGCACGUAUUGUUUAACUGAAGCAAAGGGCAGCUAAGCUAUGAAUGCUUCAAUUCUUUGUUCUGAACAAAUGCAGCUACUAUUUGUAUUUGAUCUGAGCAAAGGUGCAACCAAUUGAAGUUAUUUUGAAGAACCUACACCUGAGUGUAUAUGUUCUGAUUUUAUAGCCUGCAGAGUCUGUAAAGUUUGUACAUUUUGUGAAUUGCUUUGUUCCGGUUUCCCUUGGUGUAUAGUCUAUACUGUAUCAGGUUAUUUACUAUGUGCAGAUUUGUUUGUGCCAUUGCCAAUCAUGUACUUCUUUCUCUGCUUGGAAGCAUAGUCUCAUCGUAUCCCCUAGAUCUGUAUAAGUAUAUUUAGCUCACAUACACUUGGCAUUUGUUCUUCAAAAGGCAAUGUCCUCGAUGCUAGACUCUUGGUAACAGUUUAUUACAUGUUUUUUUUUGGUGAGUCUUUUCUUGAGAUUUAGGAUUAUGGAGUUAACGGGUGUUACUUUUGACCUGCUAAUACAGCUGCGUUAAACUUUUUGCUCUUCGAAAGCAACUAUGUAAGUCUGACGCUAACAUAAUGUUUACUGCUAAAAUACUUCAGUAUAACUUAGAGUCAGGAACAUAAGUAGAAUUUCAUAGAAAUCUGUCUAGCUCAUGUAGAUGAAAGACUUCCUGCAAGUGAGCUCUUGAAUAACUCUUACUUCCAGGAAGAUGAGGUCUAUUCCAGCGCCUCCAAUUUCAGUCUCUCUGGUCUCAAGUGUGACUGAAGAUGGGUGGCAAUCUGCAAGUUUCAUGCUUUGGAAGGGUGAAUUCUUACCGAAAAACCAUAUGCAUCUUACCGACCAUAUUAAUUUAUUGCUAAGGUUUCCUCAUACCAGUGGUAAAUAUAGCACUGAAGAAACUUUUAAAUCAAACUUUACUUCAGUCUAUAAUGACACUACAAAUUAUUUCAGGCUGUUUAAAGAAUGUUGAGUUGUCAAGCGAGGUGCUGCAGUGGCUGGCGUUGCCGGGCAUGGGACGACGUCUCUAGGCUCCUGCCUGAGGCAAGCCUCUCCGGCCUCCUCGGAUGCCCUCUAGGAACUGGCACUGUGUAUGAUGGCCUCCUCACCUAGCACCUAGGUUGACCUAGCCACCGCCAUCGAAGCGAAGAGUUGACAACAUAUGUAUGAUUGUUGCACGUGUCAGCCCUGCCAUUGGCAUGUUCAAAACUAUGAAUUGAGUGACUACAAAUAUGCUUUGAUCAAUGAAAUGAGAGGAUGUUCUUUUA